GACGAACGCUGGCGGCGUGCCUAAUACAUGCAAGUAGAACGCUGAAGGAGGAGCUUGCUUCUCCGGAUGAGUUGCGAACGGGUGAGUAACGCGUAGGUAACCUGCCUGGUAGCGGGGGAUAACUAUUGGAAACGAUAGCUAAUACCGCAUAACAGUAGAUGUUGCAUGACAUUUGCUUAAAAGGUGCAAUUGCAUCACUACCAGAUGGACCUGCGUUGUAUUAGCUAGUUGGUGAGGUAACGGCUCACCAAGGCGACGAUACAUAGCCGACCUGAGAGGGUGAUCGGCCACACUGGGACUGAGACACGGCCCAGACUCCUACGGGAGGCAGCAGUAGGGAAUCUUCGGCAAUGGACGGAAGUCUGACCGAGCAACGCCGCGUGAGUGAAGAAGGUUUUCGGACCGUAAAGCUCUGUUGUAAGAGAAGAACGAGUGUGAGAGUGGAAAGUUCACACUGUGACGGUAUCUUACCAGAAAGGGACGGCUAACUACGUG
rnacentral:rRNA from 1 species